CACUGUCAAAUCUGGACAGCCAGCUUCUAGACGCAACAUCUUCACUUCUUUCCUUGCACAUUCCUGUUAAGGAAGCAAAGAAAUCUUGGAUUCAUAAAUGGGAGAAGCACAUAAGGGAGAAGAAGAUGAUUGCAAGGAUGGAGAGGGAGCAAAUCAUUUGGAGGGAUAGAAUGCCACUGUUUGGUGUUUUUAUGCAUUUUUAUUUGCU